rnacentral:lncRNA from 12 species
GUUUUGGUCUGUUGACAGCAAUUUAUUUUGAUGUGUUGUCACAAUACGGAAUUCUUCGAGGCUCUACACCACAGUGCCAGCAAGUCCUACUGUACUUUCCUGCUGCCAGAUGCUACAGGAGAAAUACUUCCAGAGAAUAUUUCAGUGAAAUCAGGUAAAAAGUAGAACAUUGAUAUGAAAAAUACCACCACUCAGGAAUUAACUGAGAAAUGUGAUUUAAAAUACAGCCCCUGCACCUGGCUCCCUCCAACCAAGGGGAUGAAAUCCAGCACUGCAAACGCAGCACUUACUGCCAGCAUCCGAGUGCAGACACUCAACCAGCCAAGUGACCUUUUCUCCAUUCAACAGUC